GACGAACGCUGGCGGCGUGCUUAACACAUGCAAGUCGAACGAAGUGGCGAACGGGUGAGUAACGCGUAAUCAACCUGCCCUUCAGAGGGGGACAACAGUUGGAAACGACUGCUAAUACCGCAUACUGAAGGAGGGGAUUUGGUCUGUUGCGCUAGUUGGAGGGGUAACGGCCCGCCAAGGCGAUGAUCAGUAGCCGGGCUGAGAGGAUGAACGGCCACAUGGGGACUGAGACACGGCCCAGACUCCUACGGGGGGCAGCAGUGGGGAAUCUUCCGCAAUGGACGAAAGUCUGACGGAGCAACGCCGCGUGAGUGAUGACGGCCUUCGGGUUGUAAAGCUCUGUUAAUCGGGACGCGGUACCGGAAUAGAAAGCCACGGCUAACUACGUGCCAGCAGCCGCGGUAAUUC
rnacentral:rRNA from 1 species